UUAGUUUAUUUUAGCUUAGUUUACCUUAGCUUAGCUUAUUUUAGCUUUAUUUUGUGGGGCUCCAUCUUUUCUGGCGAAGAUUUUUAAAUGUGAAUAUUUAUUGUCUACUAAAAAAUGUGAAUUUGACAACAUUUUCCUCUUUGCAGCUAAAACCGCCCUUCAAAUCCUUCUUGAGGAUGAUAAUCAAACAAGUGAAUCAUCUCAACUCAAUUUUCAUGUAAGUGAUCAGAAUUUUAACUCAAAGACUGACUGCCAGAUAUUUAAAACAUUUCACCUUAUUUUUCAGGACCUAGAAAAUAUAAGCCUUCUGUCAUCCUUUCAGAACCAGAUCUACCAAAAUGUUAUGAUCUUUUUUUUUAACCAGCAAUAGAAUCGGUUGGUUGAACCAAAACGUAUCUGACCAAAUCAGCAGAGAAACAGUAACUUUGGAGCAAAUACUGUAUAUAUAUUAGUUCCUGCUUUUGUGAAGGCAUAAAUUAUAAAACAACAAAAAUAAGUUUGAGGAAUGGCUUUUGAUUGCAAAAUUAUACAGAGGGUUUAUCUCUUGCUCUUGUUGGUUUUAUCACCAUGAAAAAGGUUGAAAUUUGAAAGCUUUUUUUUUUUAGCCCUCAAGCUUGCUGGGAUUACUCGCUUCAUUUUCCUCACAAUGUGGCAACAAGCUGUUCAUUGCUGCCCUCUUCCUGAAUCUGGUCUGCACAUGAGCAGUAAGAAGAUGGAAUAGUCCAUUGCAUGAGAUGAGAGGCAUUUUUUUAAGCACGUGAAUUAAGAAUUGCUUUAAUUUGAAGAAAACUUUAUCAAUCCGUUUUUAGGAAAUGUUUAGGGGCUCGAGCCGAAGUGUAUUAAGCCACGUGUGCUAGAAGCUCAUUUGAGUGUUUUCCAUUCAAAAAUGGAAUGUCAAGGGUGGUGCCACGCACAUUGAGAAAGACAAGAUCACACACACACACACACACACACACACACACACACACACACACACACACAGAGUGUCAUGCAGCUUUGGGCUACGUUUUCAAUUGAGCGCAUGUCUGAACAGGCCUGCUGGCUCUUACUUCUCCACCCAUUAGAAGAAGAAAACCGCUCCCUAGCACACAAAAGUCCAAAACAACUAAAGAGGCAUGAAACAUUCCCAUUUUAAGACAUAUUUCUGAUAUGGUUACUCCCCCAAACUUUUUUUUUUCAAAACUGAGGAAUCAUUAUGGAUAGGUGACAAUAGAAGAUGAAAGAAGCAAGUGACUUGUGCUGCUCUUCAAAUGUGUUGCCUUCUAUCCGUCUUCUUCUUCUUCUUCUUCUUCUUCUCAUACUUUCGAUUGAGAUGAAGAUGAAAAAUCAUCAUCAACAGAGCUCAUCUAGCUCCAUGAAGUUCACUGAAAAAAAUUGGUGUGCUGAAUUUACUCAAAUUUAUUUUGUCCAGAGCACCGUGUGCAACCGGUUUACGUCUCUGCCUCACAGUGCAGAGGUACGAGGUUCGAUUCCGGCUCCGGCCUUUCUAUGUGUAAUUUGCAUGUUCUCCCCGUGCCUGUGUGGGUUUUUUCUGGGUACUCCAGUUUCCUCCCGCUCAUGGAACACUGGAAAUUGUUCCCAGGUGUGAGUAUUGAGUGUGAAUGGUCUCUGUGUGUCUUGCGAUUGGCUGGCAACUAGUUCAGUAGCCCGCCUAUUGCACGACGACAGGUGGGAUAGGCUCAAGCAUGCCCGUGACCCUCGUGAGAAUAAGCAGAUUAUAAAAUGGAGGGGUGGAUAUUUGCUCAAGUGGUUACACACGAUAGUGUCAUCUGGAUUCAGAUGGAGUAUUUGUACAAGAAUGUGAUGUGCAGGGUGGGGUCCUGCCGACCGCGAACCUGCAAACCAGACUGGACUUGUCCUCCCCUCUUCUUCUUCACUUUUUGAUGCCACGGAAAAGAGAGAGAGAGAGAGAGAGAGAGAGA